rnacentral:rRNA from 1 species
UACGGCUCAGUAACACGUGGACAACCUACCCUUGGGACGUGGAUAAACCCGGGAAACUGGGUAUAAUCCGCGAUAGUUGUGGAUGCCUGGAAUGGCGCUACGACGAAAGCUCCGGCGCCCGAGGAUGGGUCUGCGGCCUAUCAGGUAGUAGUGGGUGUAACGUACCUACUAGCCUACGACGGGUACGGGUUGUGAGAGCAAGAGCCCGGAGAUGGAUUCUGAGACACGAAUCCAGGCCCUACGGGGUGCAGCAGGCGCGAAAACUUUACAAUGCUGGCAACAGCGAUAAGGGGACCUCGAGUGCCAGGUUACAAAUCUGGCUGUCGAGAUGCCUAAAAAGCAUUUCAUAGCAAGGGCCGGGCAAGACCGGUGCCAGCCGCCGCGGUAACACCGGCGGCUCGAGUGGUAACCGCUAUUAUUUGGUCUAAAGGGUCUGUAGCCGGCCGAAUAAGUCUCUUGGGAAAUCUGGCUGCUCAACAGUCAGGCUAUCAGGAGAUACUGUUCGGCUCGAGGCCGGGAGAGGUGAGAGGUACUUCAGGGGUAGGGGUGAAAUCUUGUAAUCCUUGAAGGACCACCAGUGGCGAAGGCGUCUCACCAGAACGGGCCUGACGGCAAGGGACGAAAGCUAGGGGCACGAACCGGAUUAGAUACCCGGGUAGUCCUAGCCGUAAACGAUACUCGCUAGGUGUCGGCCACGGUGCGACCGUGGUCGGUGCCGUAGGGAAGCCGUGAAGCGAGCCACCUGGGAAGUACGGCCGCAAGGCUGAAACUUAAAGGAAUUGGCGGGGGAGCACUACAACGGGUGGAGCCUGCGGUUUAAUUGGAUUCAACGCCGGGAAGCUUACCGGGAUCGACAGCAAUAUGAAGGCCAGGCUGAAGACCUUGCCGGAUUCGCUGAGAGGUGGUGCAUGGCCGUCGUCAGUUCGUACUGUGAAGCAUCCUGUUAAGUCA